AGAACGAACGCUGGCGGCAUGCCUAAUACAUGCAAGUCGAACGAAGGCUUCGGCCUUAGUGGCGCACGGGUGCGUAACGCGUGGGAAUCUGCCCCUUGGUUCGGAAUAACAGUUGGAAACGACUGCUAAUACCGGAUGAUGACGAAAGUCCAAAGAUUUAUCGCCAAGGGAUGAGCCCGCGUAGGAUUAGCUAGUUGGUGAGGUAAAGGCUCACCAAGGCGACGAUCCUUAGCUGGUCUGAGAGGAUGAUCAGCCACACUGGGACAGAGACACGGCCAGACUCCUACGGGAGCAGCAGUAGGGAAUAUGGACAAGUAGGGCGAAAGCCUGAAUCCAGCAAUGCCGCGUGAGCGAUGGAAGGCCUUAGGGUUGUAAAGCU
rnacentral:rRNA from 1 species